rnacentral:tRNA from 1 species
GGGGUUGUGGCUCAGUGGCAGAGCGCUUGCCUCCUAUGUGGGAGGCCCUGGGUUCGAUCCUCAGCAGCACAU